rnacentral:lncRNA from 1 species
AAAGCAGGCUGCCUGCCCUAGCAGUAGCAACUUGCUCAGAUUUAUGUUUCCGUAGUGUGGGAGCUUUGUUCUUUCACUGUUUGCGGUGCCAUUCCAUAUAAAGUGAAGGAUAACGGCUACAGCAUUUUUUGUUAGACUUGGACAAUGUUGAAUGUACUACAGAAGCAUACUUUAAGGCUCCAGAGAGAGACAAGGAGAUGAGGAGACAAGCAGACGAACAGCGGAACAAUGCAGCAGAGAAAGAGAGAAGAGAAGGAACGUCUGAACGUCGAGAGGAGUUCGGCUGCUGGACGGCCAAACUCCAGGGGAAGAUCAUCUUCCCACUCCAUUCCCCCUCCAGCUCCCCAUCCAUCCCACUGAGAGC